AGUAAAGGGAAAAAUGCACGUCCGUUAUAUACGAUAUACAGAGUGUAUUUUCAAAUCAUCGUCAGUCCUUUAAUAAUUUAUCAUAUUACUUUUUUCAGUAGAUCAGAGGACACUAACUGGGUGCCAUAGAUGGGCGGAGACAUCGAAUACCUAUUGCUAAGACCUGAAGACUUCGACCAGGUGACGGCGCUGGUCGACGAUGGUUAUUUAACCAGGGAGCCUCUCAAACUGGGAGCGCGUUCGCAAGGCGUGGGGUGCAGUCGACAGCCUCGUCCGCCGCCGGGGCCACCGGACGGUACCUGAAGAAGUGCCUCGCCUCCGGAGUGUCCUUUGGCGCCAGGGACCGCGAGACAGGGGCCUUAGUCGGGGUUCGAUUGGCUUACGUCAAAACCAGGUCGGACUCCGCUGAUGAAGAGCCCGCCGAUGGAGAAAAGACAGAAGUGGAGAGGACUCGGGGUGGUAGAGGAAGUGGGCUCGAAGGUGGACUUAUUUCAAGAUCCUGGUGUGGAGAAGGUGCUCUGCAUGUAUUUGCUCUCCGUGCGACAUGAUAACUGUAACCGUGGCAUUGGAAAGAAGCUUGUUCAGGCGAAUGGUUUGUGUGUUCAUACUACAUGCAUUGUGUACAAGUUAUAUGGGCAUGCUCAGUAAGUAAGUAAGGUGUGGCACUUACAGCUACCAUCUCUCAUCCCUGUUUAUGAAGGAAUUCAGUCACAGGUUAGUUUGGUUUUGUUGCUAUUGAAUUUAUUUUUAUUUUAUUUAUUUAUUUUAAAUCGCCGAUCAUAGCGGCUUAGCUAGCGAAUAACGCUUCGGGUUUUUGAGUUUCCUCUUGGUUCUUGCAUCGAUUCAGAGGGCAGGAUCAAGCCCUUUGUGGCACUGCCCGCAACCGAAGCUCAGGCAGUGACGUCCCAGUCUUCUGUGUCAGAGAGUACAGUGAUCUGUCAUCUCAAGUUCAUCCUCGGCCGAGAGCUGCUAUGUGACAUAUUGAGAGUCCAGCAUAGACUCUUUAAUGCAGACAUUCAACAGCAAUAAUCUCUAGGUAUCGAUAACUCGAUACUACCACUUUUUUCGGAAAAUGUCAGGAAACCCGCAAAGGGAUGGGGAAGCUUGCC
rnacentral:lncRNA from 1 species